UCCCUGGUGGCUCAGUGGUAAAGAAUCUGCCUGCCAAUGCAGGAGACACAGGUUUGAUCCCUGUUCUGGGAA
rnacentral:tRNA from 1 species